GGAGAGCGCCAUUUAUUUUUAGGGUUUAUAUAAAUUCGUCCAUAAGACAUUGUGGUGUUUAUGUCUCAAUUUGUUCUCUGAGAAGUCUUUAUCAGUUCUCGUUGGGUCUGCUCUGCUCUGGGUAUUCAAUCAUUUACGGCAUUUGGUUUAGGGUUUUUGUGACGAGAAGGAAGGAAGGAAGGAGGAUGGGAAGGUACAGAAGCCGUAGCAGGAGCUACAGUCCCCGGCGCAGCAGAAGCCCUCCUCGACGGAAGAGAUACGAGGAUCCUAGGGACAGGUACCGAGGUGGGAGGUCGUCUUAUGGGGAUAGACGAUCUGCUCCUUCUGGAUUACUUGUUCGAAAUAUAGCACUCGACGCAAGGCCCGAAGAUCUUAGGAUCCCUUUUGAACGUUUUGGUCCCGUGAAGGAUGUGUAUCUUCCAAAGAACUACUAUACUGGAGAGCCACGAGGCUUUGGAUUUGUUAAAUUCCGCAAUGCUGAUGAUGCUGCUGAAGCUAAGAUGCAAAUGAACCAUCAAGUUAUUGGUGGACGUGAGAUAACCAUUGUUUUUGCUGGAGAGAACAGAAAAACUCCUCAAGAAAUGCGCACGAAUUUACGCACAAGUGACCGAUAUGGAGGAGGCUAUAGAAGGCGAUCGCCAGUAAGGUCCCCGCGACGUCGACAUCAUUCUUAUUCACGGUCACCUUCUCCACCCAGGCGUGGCUCGAGAUUAUAAAGUGAAAUGAGAGACUAAAAGAAAUCAUCGAUUAGUAAAGACUAAAGAGAAAAGGGAUAAAGUGACUACUUGCUUACUUAUCUUUCAAAGUCAUUCGAGAAGUAUUCAUUACUGAUCUCAUCUUCAUCAACUGUAACCAACGAAUGGCUUGGUCUGUCCAAAUUUUUGGAUUUUGGCUUGUAAGGCUCAGCGCCACUAAAUUGAACGGUCAAAACCAUGGUUUGUGAGAUAGAUUACAAUCACAAGAAAGCUUUAUUUUCCUUUCAUUAUUCACGUUUUAAAAUUUGAUAUCUUGGUUUUGUAUACUAUCCAGUUAAGAAAGAAUCUAGAGCUUAUAAAUGCCAAAAGAGAGAAAUCUUGAUCUCCAGAGAAUGGGAGCCCAUUGAAGUUCAUACUGCUAGAGGUAGAGGGUGACUUCUGGUGGGGGUGUCCAUCAAGAAAAAUGAUAAUUUGGGUUUUAGAGACAUUGGGGCAAAGAGAGCUGUGAAGUUAUCAGUUGCUGAUCAACCACCUCACUUUGUGGUAGAGCUUAACUCAAACAGUUUGUGGACUGAAAGUUUCAUAUUUUUGUCAGAUAUCUGAAAAUGGUGGCAGAGACGGAGACCGUGGUGCAAAGGAUGAUAAUUACUCACCACCGCGGUUGAGAUCGAGAUCGAGAUCAAGAUCCAGAUCCAGAACUAGAUCGAGAUCCAUCUCACGGUCUCCCCCUCCUCUCAAUGGGAGGGACUACAGGAGGUCCC